rnacentral:lncRNA from 1 species
GAUGAAGAGAUGGGGAGAGAAGGGGUUUACACUCUAUCUUUAUCUUCACCCUUUAUUUAAACUUUUCAAUUUUUUGUUUUGCAUGGUUACUACUUUAUCAUAUGAAAUUACAUUUUUUUGAAUAGAAUCAUUGCAUGCAAUUGCCUAUUAAUGUGUUGAUGUAAUUGGUGGCAGUAAAGGGUAACCAAAGAACCUACAAAGAGUGAAA